CAAAAAUUAGAUACCUAUUUCAUAAUAACAAUAAUGAAAAUAAUAAACAUAUGCAUACAUUAUCAUAGAGAAUAAAAUAAUGAUAACUUCCCGAUAACCGUAGCUUGUGAUAGGGGAUAGUGAGUUCAAAACUAAUUCAUAUAAACAAAAGAAUUGCAAGUACAUCAAAAAGUAUAAGCAGAGACAAAAGAAAAAUCUAUCAUGCUGUAUUAACACUAUUGUAAUAUCUGAAGAGUGUAAUAAAAACUAGAUAAUUGUUUUUUGCUUAAUGAUUUAAGGUGACUUACAUUAAUAUUAAAUAUUUCAUGCAAAGCAGUUCCUACAAAAAUAACACUUCUUUGACUAAAAAUAGUUUUAAAAGUAAUUGAAUCAAGAUUAUCUAAUUGUUUAGAUUGUUUUAUGCUCGUGUUGGACAAGGACCUUAGGGUCACUAGGUCUCUAGGGAUACACCAAAAAUUUAUUUUAGCUGUCUAUCUAAGAAUGUUGUCAAUUCUAGUACUCUGAAACCUUGAGUCUUAAAUAACACCUGAAAAAACUAAGAGCAAUUCUUCGUGUACCAGAAAAUUAUAACUUUAUUUAAUAAAACUGCAUGAUCGACAGUCAAAAAACUUAUCGAAAAAUAUACCAAUCAUUUUUUAUUACACGCACAAAGUUUACGAACCAUAAUAAAUUUGAGCAUCAAUAUUGUUGAUUUAAUUAUCCAUAAUAACAAUAUUACAAAUUGCAAAUGGUAUUAAAUACUGUCGAUACUGAAAAAUUAAUAUUUAACAUGCA